AUUGAACGCUGGCGGCAUGCCUUACACAUGCAAGUCGAACGGCAGCACGGGAGCAAUCCUGGUGGCGAGUGGCGAACGGGUGAGUAAAGUAUCGGAACGUGCCCAGUCGUGGGGGAUAACGUAGCGAAAGUUACGCUAAUACUGCAUACGCUCUAUGGAUGAAAGCGGGGGAUCGCCAGACCUCGCUCGAUUGGAGCGGCCGAUAUAAGAUUAGGUAGUUGGUGGGGUAAAGGCUCACCAAGCCGACGAUCUGUAGCUGGACUGUGAGGACGACCAGCCACACUGGGACUGAGACACGGCCCAGACUCCUACGGGAGGCAGCAGUGGGGAAUUUUGGACAAUGGGCGAAAGCCUGAUCCAGCCAUGCCGCGUGCAGGAUGAAGGCCUUCGGGUUGUAAACUGCUUUUGUACGGAACGAAAAGGUUUGGCCUAAUAAGCUGAGCUCAUGACGGUACCGUAAGAAUAAGCACCUGCUAACUACGUGCCAGCCGCCGCAGUAA
rnacentral:rRNA from 1 species